UACAGAGGUCCCAAGCGUUUGUUCGGAUUCAUUGGGCGUAAAGGGUGCGUAGGCGGCGCGGUAAGUCGGGUGUGAAAUCUUGGAGCUUAACUCCGAAACUGCAUUCGAUACUGCCGUGCUUGAGGACUGGAGAGGAGACUGGAAUUUACGGUGUAGCGGUGAAAUGCGUAGAUAUCGUAAGGAAGACCAGUGGCGAAGGCGGGUCUCUGGACA
rnacentral:rRNA from 1 species